rnacentral:lncRNA from 1 species
CACGAACCUCUAUCAGAAGAAGCCACUUCAGCAAGAAGGGAACCGCUCCACAGCAUAAUUCCUUCCAAAGAAGCGAAAAACAACAAGCAAGAGACGCCGACUGAUUUCAUUCCCUUCAUCAGAGCGGCGCUCCGGCGGAGAGGUUGAAAGCCCCAGGUUCGUUCGACGACGGCGAUGACGGAGGCAAGGGUCCAUGAAAUACGGAGGUAGAAGAGGACGAAGAUGAGUGGGAGGAAGAGGGCGUAGGCAGUGAGGGUGAGGGUGAUUGAAGAGAAAGAGAAGGAGGGGGUUAGGAGGAAGAGGGGGAUUGGGAGAGAAAGGGAGAAGAGGAUGAGGUGGGAGAGGAUGAAGGUGGUGAGGAGAGGGAGGAAGGAGGAGAGGAGGGAGGUGAAGGCGGAGAUGAGUUUAACGGGACGACCGAAGAAGCCGUGGAAGAUGCUGUGGGUGAUGGUGGCGAGGGCGGAGAGGGAGAAGAUUAAGAGGAAGAGGGAUAGUAAGAGGAGUGGGAAG